rnacentral:rRNA from 1 species
GAUGAACGCUAGCGGUAGGCUUAACACAUGCAAGUCGAGGGGCAGCAUGGUCUUAGCUUGCUAAGACUGAUGGCGACCGGCGCACGGGUGCGUAACGCGUAUGCAACUUGCCUCACAGAGGGGGAUAACCCGUCGAAAGACGGACUAAUACCGCGUACACUCCAUCUUGGGCAUCCAAGGUAGAGGAAAUGAAAUUCGCUGUGAGAUAGGCAUGCGUCCCAUUAGCUAGUUGGUGAGGUAACGGCUCACCAAGGCGACGAUGGGUAGGGGAACUGAGAGGUUGAACCCCCACACUGGUACUGAGACACCGACCAGACGCCUACGGGAGGCAGCAGUGAGGAAUAUUGGUCAAUGGGCGAGAGCCUGAACCAGCCAAGUCGCGUGAAGGAUGACUGUCUUAUGGAUUGUAAACUCCUUUUAGACGGGAAUAACAAGAGUCACGUGUGACUCCCUGCAUGUACCGGAUGAAUAAGCAUCGGCUAACUCCGUG